rnacentral:rRNA from 1 species
UUAGUCUUUCAUAGGAUUCGGAUAUUGGGCGUAAGAGCUCGUAGGCGGUUUGUCGCGUCUGCUGUGAAAGACCGGGGCUCAACUCCGGUUCUGCAGUGGGUACGGGCAGACUAGAGUGCAGUAGGGGAGACUGGAAUUCCUGGUGUAGCGGUGAAAUGCGCAGAUAUCAGGAGGAACACCGAUGGCGAAGGCAGGUCUCUGGGCUGUAACUGACGCUGAGGAGCGAAAGCAUGGGGAGCGAACAGGAUUAGAUACCCUGGUAGUCCAUGCCGUAAACGUUGGGCACUAGGUGUGGGGGACAUUCCACGUUUUCCGCGCCGUAGCUAACGCAUUAAGUGCCCCGCCUGGGGAGUACGGCCGCAAGGCUAAAACUCAAAGGAAUUGACGGGGGCCCGCACAAGCGGCGGAGCAUGCGGAUUAAUUCGAUGCAACGCGAAGAACCUUACCAAGGCUUGACAUGAACCGGUAAUACCUGGAAACAGGUGCCCCGCUUGCGGUCGGUUUACAGGUGGUGCAUGGUUGUCGUCAGCUCGUGUCGUGAGAUGUUGGGUUAAGUCCCGCAACGAGCGCAACCCUCGUUCUAUGUUGCCAGCGCGUUAUGGCGGGGACUCAUAGGAGACUGCCGGGGUCAACUCGGAGGAAGGUGGGGACGACGUCAAAUCAUCAUGCCCCUUAUGUCUUGGGCUUCACGCAUGCUACAAUGGCCGGUACAAAGGGUUGCGAUACUGUGAGGUGGAGCUAAUCCCAAAAAGCCGGUCUCAGUUCGGAUUGGGGUCUGCAACUCGACCCCAUGAAGUCAGAGUCGCUAGUAAUCGCAGAUCAGCAACGCUGCGGUGAAUACGUUCCCGGGCCUUGUACACACCGCCCGUCAAGUCACGAAAGUUGGUAACACCCGAAGCCGGUGGCCUAACCCUUGUGGGGGGGAGCCGUCGAAGGUGGGACCGGCGAUUGGGACUAAGUCGUACCAAAGGUAGCCCAA